AGAAAAGACAGUUUAAAGUCAAAAGUUCUCAGGAAAGAAGAGAGUCUUCAGUGUGACCCUUUUUUUCCUUUUCAUCUUUGUUCAUCCUUUUUUUUUUUGGAUUU
rnacentral:ribozyme from 13 species